rnacentral:rRNA from 1 species
CUAGCAUAUCAUAGCGGAGGAAAAGAAACCAACUGGGAUUGCCUCAGUAACGGCGAGUGAGCGGCAAGAGCUCAAAUUUGAAAGCUGGCCCUUCGGGGUCCGCGUUGUAAUUUGCAGAGGAUGCUUCGGGUGCAGCCCCCGUCUAAGUGCCCUGGAACGGGCCGUCAUAGAGGGUGAGAAUCCCGUCUGGGACGGGGUGUCUGCGUCCGUGUGAAGCUCCUUCGACGAGUCGAGUUGUUUGGGAAUGCAGCUCUAAAUGGGUGGUAAAUUUCAUCUAAAGCUAAAUACUGGCCGGAGACCGAUAGCGCACAAGUAGAGUGAUCGAAAGAUGAAAAGCACUUUGAAAAGAGAGUUAAACAGCACGUGAAAUUGUUGAAAGGGAAGCGUUUGCGACCAGACUCGCCCGCGGGGUUCAGCCGGCAUUCGUGCCGGUGUACUUCCCCGUGGGCGGGCCAGCGUCGGUUUGGGCGGCCGGUCAAAGGCCCUCGGAAUGUAUCACCUCUCGGGGUGUCUUAUAGCCGAGGGUGCAAUGCGGCCUGCCUGGACCGAGGAACGCGCUUCGGCUCGGACGCUGGCGUAAUGGUCGUAAAUGACCCGUCUUGAAACACGGACCAAGGAGUCUAACAUCUACGCGAGUGUUCGGGUGUCAAACCCGUACGCGCAGUGAAAGCGAACGGAGGUGGGAGCCCCCUCGCGGGGCGCACCAUCGACCGAUCCUGAUGUCUUCGGAUGGAUUUGAGUACGAGCGUAGCUGUGGGGACCCGAAAGAUGGUGAACUAUGCCUGAAUAGGGCGAAGCCAGAGGAAACUCUGGUGGAGGCUCGCAGCGGUUCUGACGUGCAAAUCGAUCGUCAAAUUUGGGUAUAGGGGCGAAAGACUAAUCGAACCAUCUA